rnacentral:piRNA from 1 species
UACGAGAGAGGAAUUAACCUGACUGGUGU